CAGCAGCCACGGGAACACGGAGGGUGCAAGCGUUAAUCGGAAUUACUGGGCGUAAAGCGCACGCAGGCGGUCUGACAAGUCAGAUGUGAAAUCCCCGGGCUUAACCUGGGAACUGCAUUUGAAACUGUCAGGCUGGAGUCUUGUAGAGGGGGGUGGAAUUCCAGGUGUAGCGGUGAAAUGCGUAGAGAUCUGGAGGAAUACCGGUGGCGAAGGCGGCCCCCUGGACAAAGACUGACGCUCAGGUGCGAAAGCGUGGGGAGCAAACAGGAUUAGAUACCCGAGUAGUCCCUGUCUCUUAUAC
rnacentral:rRNA from 1 species